GCUGAGGACAUAGCUUGAUUGGUAGAGUGCUUGCCCCUCAUGCACAAGGCCUGGGUUCAAUCCACAGCAGCA
rnacentral:tRNA from 1 species